CCUACGGGAGACAGCAGUCGAGAAUCAUUCACAAUGGGGGAAACCCUGAUGGUGCGACGCCGCGUGGGGGAAUGAAGGUCUUCGGAUUGUAAACCCCUGUCAUGUGGGAGCAAAUUAAAAAGAUAGUACCACAAGAGGAAGAGACGGCUAACUCUGUGCCAGCAGCCGCGGUAAUACAGAGGUCUCAAGCGUUGUUCGGAAUCACUGGGCGUAACGCGUGCGUAGGCUGUUUCGUAAGUCGUGUGUGAAAGGCGCGGGCUCAACCCGCGGACGGCACAUGAUACUGCGAGACUAGAGUAAUGGAGGGGGAACCGGAAUUCUCGGUGUAGCAGUGAAAUGCGUAGAUAUCGAGAGGAACACUCGUGGCGAAGGCGGGUUCCUGGACAUUAACUGACGCUGAGGCACGAAGGCCAGGGGAGCGAAAGGGAUUAGAUACCCGUGUAGUC
rnacentral:rRNA from 1 species